CGGAAGAUUCUAGGCCGUGGAAUUUGAGGACUAGAAGAGCGGCGUGUAAAGCGCCGAUGAAUGGAAUCUCCGAUGGUGGAUCAAAGAUUCCGUCGCCGGAGAUUCUUCCAAGUGAGUUCGCCGGAGAUUCUGUUAGGGUGCCGUUUUCGGUUUCGCUUGGUAGGAAAGAGAUUGAAGAGGAUUUUAUGACAAUGGUUGGACAUAGACCUCCACGUAGACCCAAAAAAAGAGCUAAAUUGGUUCAAAAGAAUUUAGACACGUUAUUUCCAGGGUUGUGGUUAACGGAGAUUACACCGGACUUAUACAAAGUUCCUGAUGAUCAGUAGAUUCAAAAGAUGGGGAGUUGUGUUUUUGUCUGACAAAAGAUGGUAACUUUGAUACUGGUACAGUGCAUGACCUUUUUGAUUUUGGGAGUUUGAUGAAACCGUUGAAUUUCCUUUGGUAACAGAAAAGGGGUUUAAGAGGAUAAAAGUUGCUGCUGCAAUGCUAAUUUUGCUUAGAGGUGAUUUGAUUUGUUCAUAUUUUCUCUCUUUUAUCAUUGAAAUAAGUUUUAACAAAGUUGGAUGUUCAUAGAUCAAAGACGAUUGUUCAUAUAGUGAAACAAUCUCUAAUCUUUCAAGUGCAUUUACGUGCUA